AAAGGUCAUGGCUCAGUGGUAUAGCAUUUGCUUUGCAUGCAGAAGGUCCUGGGUUCAAUCCCUGGGAUCUUCA